rnacentral:rRNA from 1 species
GAUGAACGCUGGCGGCGUGCUUAAUACAUGCAAGUCGAGCGAACAGACGAGGAGCUUGCUCCGCGGACGAUAGGGGAGGACGGGUGAGAAACACGUGUAUAACCCACCUAUAUGACGGAGAUAACUCCGGGAAACCGGCUCUAAUACGGGAUAAUAUAUUGAACCGCAUGGUGCAAUAGUGAAAGACGGUUUUGCUGGCGCAUAGAGAUGCAGCCGCGCAGCAUGAGCUGGUUGGUAUGGUAACGGCGUACCAAGGCAACGAUGCGUAGCCGACCGGCGAGGGUGAUCGGCCGCCCUGUAACUGAGGCACGGUCCUGACGCCUACGCGAGGCAGCGGUAGGGAAUCUUCCGCAAUGGGCGAAAGCCUGACGGAGCAAUGCCGCGUGAGUGAUGAAGGUCUUCGGAUCGUAGGGCUGUGUUAUUAUUGAAGAACUAAUGUGUAAGUAACUAUGCACGUCGUGACGGUACCUGGUCAGAAAGCCCCGGCUAACUACGUG